rnacentral:rRNA from 1 species
GACGGAGGAGGCAAGCGUUAUUCGGAAUUAUUGGGCGUAAAGCGUUCGUAGGCGGCUUAUCAAGUCUGCGGUUAAAGGCCAGGGCCCAACCCUGGAGAGGCCGUGGAAACUGUUAGGCUAGAGUGCGGUAGGGGUAGCGGGAAUUCCCGGUGUAGCGGUGAAAUGCGUAGAUAUCGGGAAGAACACCAGCGGCGGAAGCGCGCUACUGGGCCUGCACUGACGCUGAGGGACGAAAGCUAGGGGAGCGAAUGGG